GUAGGUGGCAAGCGUUGUCCGGAAUUAUUGGGCGUAAAGCGCGCGCAGGUGGGUUCUUUAAGUCUGAUGUGAAAGCCCCCGGGCUCAACCGGGGAGGGUCAUUGGAAACUGGGGAACUUGAGUGCAGGAGAGGAAAGUGGAAUUCCACGUGUAGCGGUGAAAUGCGUAGAUACGUGGAGGAACACCAGUGGCGAAGGCGACUUUCUGGCCUGUAACUGACACUGAGGCGCGAAAGCGUGGGGAGCAAACAGGAUUAGAUACCCUGGUAGUCCACGCCGUAAACGAUGAGUGCUAAGUGUUGGGGGGUUUCCGCCCCUCAGUGCUGCAGCUAACGCAUUAAGCACUCCGCCUGGGGAGUACGGUCGCAAAGACUG
rnacentral:rRNA from 1 species